GGAAGGAGAAAAUGAGCACAAGUAAGAAAUAAAUUAAUACUGCUGUACCCCUGGCACUAAUACAACGUUGCUUUCCUGGCCACCAGAUCCUGCUUUUCCCGAGGAUGGCAAGCUGGGAGUGCACGGGAAUUAACAACCACACGCCAGCCCUCGACCCAUGGCUGAUGAUGAGGUCCAGGUAAAAACACCCAGCUCCCUUAGCCUGGGAGCAGGGACAGCUCUGAGGCAUCUGCUCCCUGGCAUCUCCUCCAGUUCCCCAAGAUCCAGCCCCAACUCUCCACGGGGGCACCUGGAUCGGUGAGGCAUCUUCCCUAAACGCAUCCCCACUGCCCUGCUGGGGGUCCCUCCUGAACAAACCACUUGCACUCAAACCUGUGUCUCAGAAUCAGUAUGCCUACGAGGGGACCCAAACUAAGAUACAGACACUGGUAACUGUGGUAGACAGAGUAAUGUCCCCGCCCCCUCCCUGUGGUGGUGUCCACAUCCUAACCCCUUGAACCUGUGAAUGUGCUACCUUACUUGACCCAAAGGGAUUUCACCAUUCUUGAGAUGGGGCGAUUAUCCUGGGUUAUCUGUGUGGGCCCAGGGUCCCUAUAAGAAGGAGGCACUUGAGUCAGAGAAAAUGUGAGGAUGCAGAGGUCAGAGCAACGCAACUGAUGGAAGAGGCCACAAGCCAAGGAACGUGGACAGCCUCUGGAAGCUGGAAAGGGCAAGGAAACAGAUUCUCCUCUAGAAGCUCUAGAAGGAGUGCAGCCCUGCCCAUGCCUUGAUUAAGCCCAGUGAAACCCCUUUUGGACUUCUGACCUCCCAAUGUGUAAAGUAAUAGAUGUGUGUGGCUUUCAGCCACGAAGUUGGUGGUCACCUGUUGGAGCAACAAGAGGAAACUCAUGCAGUAACCAAUCGGCCCCUUCCUUCCCACUGAACCCAGGCACUAUGACGAAACCCUUCCCAACAUGCACUAAUCGACAGGCAUUGGUACGCAAGGAAUUACUGCUAGUCCCUGCAUCAUGAACACCUGCCCUCUAGAGCCAGAACCUGUGGAUACAUCAGAAAGAGCCUCUGCCUUGGGUGGGUCCAGCCCUCACUUACCUGUGGUGCCCAGGGUCCGCCACCCUACACAGGAGGGGCACCGCUUCCCUGACUCUGUAUGAAAAGUGCUCCCUGGCAAACGACACGGAAGGAAGCAGGUAUAGGGCGUGAGGGCGAGCCACCCCAGGAGCGCCUGAACUUGUGAUGCAGCCAGUUAGGUGGAGGUGUUCACUGCGGCUGCGCUGGUGUUGCCCCUUUGUUUCGGGGACAUUCUUCACCGCCGAAGAGACACACCGCUAAACAGUCAACGCCUUUAUUUUCAAGUCAUGUGGGAAACAGACCUCUCGAUGCCAAAUCCAAGACCUUCCAGCGGGGCCGUCAGUCUGGCUUCCGGGGCAGAGAUAAGUGGUCCCGCCGCGGUUGCUCCUCGUGGCCACACGGCGUCGCUGUCGAGCCAGCCCGGCACGGGGCUGGGGGCUGGCGCGGCGGUGGAGCUCUGAGCCCGGACUUGGGCGGAGCGCCCAUCCCAGGGCCCGAUCGUGGGUCCCCAGGCUCGGGUUCUCCCCGCUCAACCUCUGCGAUUCCACGCGCAGCUGCUGUCCAGGGCCAGCAGCCGUCGCUGUGAAUCCUCAGAAUGCGCCCCCUUUGCCUGGGCGAGGAGCCCCUCACUAGCUUCAGAGAAAGAUGCCUCCAAUUUGGCUGGUCCAAGAAGGCACCAGCGGCCCACGGGCCCCCGACCGACCGGGAGACAUGCUGCCACCUCUCUGUCUGGAAAAGAUGCGCACGCAUGUCUGGGGUGGGGGGGAAAUGGGGGUCACCCAGACUCCUGCUGGGGAAAAACAAAUUAGAUGAAAUCUCCUGCCAACCCAGAAAACCUCUCCCAAAAAAUAGGAGGUUAAGAACCGUUUUAUAUGGAAUUCGCAUUCAACCAAAAUGUGCUGCACGUUGCAGGCGGUCCAUCCACUAAGAGACGACCAAAAACUCUCACCCUUUCAUAUAGCCAGGCAGGUAACAAGCCAUCACACACAACUUCACCCAGACCAAGCACAGCUAGUCCUCCAGCCAGAGGAGGAGACAGCACCACUGUCACACACAGUUGGCAAUUUGCCUGGCAAGUGCAGCGGCCACCUGUGUUUGCUGAUUGCCUUUAUGCAGAAGAAAACUACCUUCCUCCUGCCUGCGGGACAGGAGGUGGGUUUGCAACUUGGAGCCAGGCACCAGCUCAAGGUGGGCUCCUGCACACCUACAGAAUGUGGGAGAUGAGGCACUGUGUUCCUGGAGGUUUCCAGGUCCCUGGGGAAAUGCUCCUGGGAUGGUAACCUGGCAAGGGGCUUAUUCAGGUUUUGGAAAGAUUUACAUACAUUUCAAAGAGGCAGAGCUUACAAUUACAGGGUUUCUAAACCGAAUGCUCUGGGAGCUCCCACUGUGGCUCAGCGGUAAUGAACCCAACUAGUAUCCCAACAAGGGUUGAUCCCUGGCCUCGCUCAGUGGGUUAAGGAUCCCGCGUUGCCAGUGCUGUGUUGUAGGUCACGGUUGCAGCUCAGAUCUGGUGUUGCUAUGGUUGUGGCAUAGGCCAGCAGCUACAGCUUCCAUUUGACCCCUAGCCUAGGAGCUUCCACAUGCCGCGGGCGUGGCCAUAAAAAGACAAAAAAAAACUGGGUCUGGCUAGUUCUGUAGGGGUUGGGGGAGCAAGGCUGAGGCUGAAUCUGGGCAGGACCAGGGACCUGAGCUCAUCUGGCUUCCCUGUCGUGAACUCUUGAUGCAUGCAUCCAGCCCCCUGCCCAACAAAACCCUGGCCACUGUCUGGCUUUGCCUUCAAUUGAUAGACUUUAAUAAAGCAUGUCCCUGGUCUGUGCUGGCCGCCUACGGAGAACAUAACGAGUUAAUAGAGGGGACGGGAUCUUGCACUAGACGUUUCCUGCCCUCGGGGCUCUGUGCUGGACAGUGACGUAAUGCUCUGUGAUGUAAUAAAACCUAGCCCUUUCUCUCAGCCCAGUCUAUGGAAAAGAGGCUGAAAAAUUCAAAAGAGACUCUUCUGCGCGAGAACUUCCUCCUCGAGGGUCGCCAGACCAGGAGGAAGAAGGGAGUGAUGUUUACACACAUGGGAAAAGAACCACUCCUCCAAGCCAGGGGAGGGGGACUCAGGAACACCACCUGGAGAACAGAGGGUCACCAGAGGGGACCCUGGCACCUGGGUCCCCCCGCCACACCCCUCACCGCUGAGUGGCUGACACUCGGGUGCCUGCCAUUGCUGCCACCUGAGCAAAACAAAGGACCCAAAACCUGGAACAGUGCCAAGACUGGCAGGACAAAGGACAGAGAGCUGCAGUGGGAGUGACCUGUGUGCCACCAGUGGCAGGGCAAGAGAUCAGAUGCCCAUGGCCAGAGUGGAUGUUCAGGAAGAGAGCUGGGCUAGAGCGAUCCUGAUGGGACCUCACGUGGAGGGGCCGCCUGCGGGCACAAGGCCAUCCCACAGAAAGGGGCUUUGUGGGGAGCAAAGCGCACGGGGUGAGAAGGUAUUUGCAGCAGGUGUGAAAGAUGCCAGUGGCGUUUGUGGAGGGGCCAAACCACCAGGACACUGCGCAUGUGUGGCAGCAUCGCCCCUCAAGGAGCACGCAGGAGCCAGCGGUUACCCGUUGCCUUUCAUCCCUCUUCUCUUCUCGGACCCUGAAGGAGCCUGAAAGCAGCUGCUAGCAGUUGGGGAGCAGAGGAAUCAAAGAAAGCCACCUACCACGACCUCCCACCAGCUGCCACCACCUUUCCCACCCAGAAACCAGAUCAGCUUGAAUAGGAGACAUUUAACAUUGGUUGGGAGAUGAGUAUUCUUACUUACGGAGUUCCCAUGUGGCUCAGCAGGUUAAGAACUCGAUGAGGAUGCAGAUCGGAGCCCACAGGCUCUGUGCGUUAAGGAUCCGGCAAGCGUGGGUCGCAAAUGUGGCUUGGAUCUGGCAUGGCUGCGGCUGUGGUGUAAGCCAGCAGCUACAGCUCAGACUGGACCCCUAGGCUGGGAACUUCCAGCAGGUGCAGCC
rnacentral:lncRNA from 1 species